rnacentral:lncRNA from 1 species
AGCAGGAAAAUGUCUCCUGUGUUAAAAUGCUCUGGACCCAGAAUAUUUCCUGAUAAUGUACUUUCCUGAGAAGAUCUUGAAGCAUCUUACUAAUUUGAAAUAAUCAGAGUGCCUUAAAUUCCCUGUCAUAAAAUGAUUCUGCUUUGGGGAAUACCUUCUCUCAGCUUGCAGAUUGUAUCUUCAAUGUUAAGAUGUGUGAAAUGGAAGUGCUGUUUGCAAGGGACAGAUGCUGUAUUCUUGAAAUAUAAAACGUCAAUUUCCAACGCUGGAGAGGAGAACAAGGCCUUAUCAAGAUUGCCUGGCAGAGCAUGAUAUUUAUACACCCACCUGGCUUAUCACUGACGAGAAUGUAAUCUUCACUGAGAGAGGCUUUUAAAGAUUCCUCUCUUAAUAUUUGCUUCAUCAUUUCAGAAAGUCUCUAGCUAGACCUGAUCAAACAGUUAUUUCUGGCUGGGCACAAAUUCCAUUUUCAGAAUAUUGCUUGGCUCUUUGUUCCUUUCCCCUCUGUGCUAUCCACCCCCUAGCCUGACUCAUCUCUUCUAGAACCUUCUCUGUCCUUCCCCAAACCACUGGGAGUGAUUUACUAAGUGCAUUUCCCAGCCAGCUCCCAGAUGCUGGCUAGAAAGACCAAUUUACAGGAACAAAAU